CAGCAGCCGCGGUAAUACGAAGGGUGCAAGCGUUAAUCGGAAUUACUGGGCGUAAAGCGUGCGUAGGUGGUGGUUUAAGUCCGUUGUGAAAGCCCUGGGCUCAACCUGGGAAUGGCAGUGGAUACUGGCUCGCUAGAGUGUGUCAGAGGAUGGUGGAAUUCCCGGUGUAGCGGUGAAAUGCGUAGAGAUCGGGAGGAACAUCAGUGGCGAAGGCGGCCAUCUGGGACAACACUGACGCUGAGGCACGAAAGCGUGGGGAGCAAACAGGAUUAGAUACCCCGUAGUCCCUGUCUCUUAUACA
rnacentral:rRNA from 1 species